rnacentral:rRNA from 1 species
CGGGCCCUUUUUGUCUUGUAUUGGAUGAUGGGAUUUAAACCUCUUCCAGAGUAUCAAUUGGAGGGCAAGUCUGGUGCCAGCAGCCGCGGUAAUUCCAGCUCCAAUAGCGUAUAUUAAAAUUGUUGCAGUUAAAAAGCUCGUAGUUGAAUUUCUGCUGCAUUGCUUUUGCUCCUUUACGAGUCUUUGCAUUGUGGCUUAUUUCGGACUUUGUUUUACAAUGUCCGGAUGUUUACUUUGAGAAAAUUAGAGUGCUCAAAGCAGGCUUUCGCCUUGAAUAGUUUAGCAUGGAAUAAUAAAGUAGGACUUUGGUUCUAUUUUGUUGGUUUUAGGUACCAAAGUAAUGGUUAAUAGGAACAGUUGGGGGCAUUCGUAUUUAACUGUCAGAGGUGAAAUUCUUAGAUUUGUUAAAGACGAACUACUGCGAAAGCAUUUGCCAAGGAUGUUUUCAUUAAUCAAGAACGAAAGUUAGGGAAUCGAAGAAA